GAUGAACGCUGGCGGCGUGCCUAAUACAUGCAAGUCGAGCGAACGGACGAGAAGCUUGCUUCUCUGAUGUUAGCGGCGGACGGGUGAGUAACACGUGGAUAACCUACCUAUAAGACUGGGAUAACUUCGGGAAACCGGAGCUAAUACCGGAUAAUAUUUUGAACCGCAUGGUUCAAAAGUGAAAGACGGUCUUGCUGUCACUUAUAGAUGGAUCCGCGCUGCAUUAGCUAGUUGGUAAGGUAACGGCUUACCAAGGCAACGAUGCAUAGCCGACCUGAGAGGGUGAUCGGCCACACUGGAACUGAGACACGGUCCAGACUCCUACGGGAGGCAGCAGUAGGGAAUCUGCCGCAAUGGGCGAAAGCCUGACGGAGCAACGCCGCGUGAGUGAUGAAGGUCUUCGGAUCGUAAAACUCGGUUAUUAGGGAAGAACAUAUGUGUAAGUAACUGUGCACAUCUUGACGGUACCUAAUCAGAAAGCCACGGCUAACUACGUG
rnacentral:rRNA from 1 species